GACGAACCGUGCUAACAUUGUUCGGAUUCACUGGGCUUAAAGGGCGCGUAGGCGGGCGCGUAAGUCAGGGGUGAAAUCCUCCGGCUCAACCGGAGAAGUGCUUCUGAUACUGCGUGUCUGGAGGGAGGUAGGGGCUAACGGAACUUCCGGUGGAGCGGUGAAAUGCGUAGAGAGUCGGAAGGAACGCCGGUGGCGAAAGCGGUUAGCUGGACCUCUUCUGA
rnacentral:rRNA from 1 species